GGUUGCGAUCAUACCAGCACUAAUGCACCGGAUCCCAUCAGAACUCCGCAGUUAAGCGUGCUUGGGCGAGUGUAGUACUAGGAUGGGUGACCCCCUGGGAAGUCCUCGUGUUGCAACCC
rnacentral:rRNA from 1 species